rnacentral:rRNA from 1 species
UACGAAGGGGGCUAGCGUUGCUCGGAUUGACUGGGCGUAAAGGGCGCGUAGGCGGUUCGUACAGUCAGACGUGAAAUUCCUGGGCUCAACCUGGGGGCUGCGUUUGAUACGUGCGGACUUGAGUGCGGAAGAGGGUCGUGGAAUUCCCAGUGUAGAGGUGAAAUUCGUAGAUAUUGGGAAGAACACCGGUGGCGAAGGCGGCGACCUGGUCCGAUACUGACGCUGAGGCGCGAAAGCGUGGGGGAGCAAAACAGG